rnacentral:rRNA from 1 species
AUGUGGUUUAAUUCGAAGCAACGCGAAGAACCUUACCAGGUCUUGACAUCCCGAUGCUAUUUCUAGAGAUAGAAAGUUACUUCGGUACAUCGGUGACAGGUGGUGCAUGGUUGUCGUCAGCUCGUGUCGUGAGAUGUUGGGUUAAGUCCCGCAACGAGCGCAACCCCUAUUGUUAGUUGCCAUCAUUCAGUUGGGCACUCUAGCGAGACUGCCGGUAAUAAACCGGAGGAAGGUGGGAUGACGUCAAAUCAUCAUGCCCCUUAUGACCUGGGCUACACACGUGCUACAAUGGUUGGUACAACGAGUUGCGAGUCGGUGACGGCGAGCUAAUCUCUUAAAGCCAAUCUCAGUUCGGAUUGUAGGCUGCAACUCGCCUACAUGAAGUCGGAAUCGCUAGUAAUCGCGGAUCAGCACGCCGCGGUGAAUACGUUCCCGGGCCUU